UGAGGAAUAUUGGGCAAUGCCCGCAAGGGUGACCCAGCAACGCUGCGUGGAGGAUGAAUGUCGUAAGAUUGUAAACUCCUGUUAGAGGGGAAGAAUAGUACCGGUUGGACCGGUAUAUGACUGUACCCUCAGAGAAAGCCCCGGCUAACUACGUGCCAGCAGCCGCGGUAAUACGUAGGGGGCAAGCGUUGUCCGGAUUUACUGGGUGUAAAGGGCGCGCAGGCGGGAUAAAAAGUCAGUGGUGAAAUCCUACAGCUUAACUGUAGAACUGCCUUUGAUACUUUUAUUCUUGAGUUCGGGAGAGAGAGACGGAAUUCCAGGUGUAGUGGUGAAAUACGUAGAUAUCUGGAAGAACACCAGUUGCGAAGGCGGUCUCUUGGUCCGACACUGACGCUGAGGCGCGAAAGCGUGGGGAGCAAACA
rnacentral:rRNA from 1 species